GAAACAUCUUCGGGUUGUGAGGUUAAGCGACUAAGCGUACACGGUGGAUGCCCUGGCAGUCAGAGGCGAUGAAGGACGUGCUAAUCUGCGAUAAGCGUCGGUAAGGUGAUAUGAACCGUUAUAACCGGCGAUUUCCGAAUGGGGAAACCCAGUGUGUUUCGACACACUAUCAUUAACUGAAUCCAUAGGUUAAUGAGGCGAACCGGGGGAACUGAAACAUCUAAGUACCCCGAGGAAAAGAAAUCAACCGAGAUUCCCCCAGUAGCGGCGAGCGAACGGGGAGGAGCCCAGAGCCUGAAUCAGUGUGUGUGUUAGUGGAAGCGUCUGGAAAGGCGCGCGAUACAGGGUGACAGCCCCGUACACAAAAAUGCACAUGCUGUGAGCUCGAUGAGUAGGGCGGGACACGUGGUAUCCUGUCUGAAUAUGGGGGGACCAUCCUCCAAGGCUAAAUACUCCUGACUGACCGAUAGUGAACCAGUACCGUGAGGGAAAGGCGAAAAGAACCCCGGCGAGGGGAGUGAAAAAGAACCUGAAACCGUGUACGUACAAGCAGUGGGAGCACGCUUAGGCGUGUGACUGCGUACCUUUUGUAUAAUGGGUCAGCGACUUAUAUUCUGUAGCAAGGUUAACCGAAUAGGGGAGCCGAAGGGAAACCGAGUCUUAACUGGGCGUUAAGUUGCAGGGUAUAGACCCGAAACCCGGUGAUCUAGCCAUGGGCAGGUUGAAGGUUGGGUAACACUAACUGGAGGACCGAACCGACUAAUGUUGAAAAAUUAGCGGAUGACUUGUGGCUGGGGGUGAAAGGCCAAUCAAACCGGGAGAUAGCUGGUUCUCCCCGAAAGCUAUUUAGGUAGCGCCUCGUGAAUUCAUCUCCGGGGGUAGAGCACUGUUUCGGCAAGGGGGUCAUCCCGACUUACCAACCCGAUGCAAACUGCGAAUACCGGAGAAUGUUAUCACGGGAGACACACGGCGGGUGCUAACGUCCGUCGUGAAGAGGGAAACAACCCAGACCGCCAGCUAAGGUCCCAAAGUCAUGGUUAAGUGGGAAACGAUGUGGGAAGGCCCAGACAGCCAGGAUGUUGGCUUAGAAGCAGCCAUCAUUUAAAGAAAGCGUAAUAGCUCACUGGUCGAGUCGGCCUGCGCGGAAGAUGUAACGGGGCUAAACCAUGCACCGAAGCUGCGGCAGCGACGCUUAUGCGUUGUUGGGUAGGGGAGCGUUCUGUAAGCCUGUGAAGGUGUGCUGUGAGGCAUGCUGGAGGUAUCAGAAGUGCGAAUGCUGACAUAAGUAACGAUAAAGCGGGUGAAAAGCCCGCUCGCCGGAAGACCAAGGGUUCCUGUCCAACGUUAAUCGGGGCAGGGUGAGUCGACCCCUAAGGCGAGGCCGAAAGGCGUAGUCGAUGGGAAACAGGUUAAUAUUCCUGUACUUGGUGUUACUGCGAAGGGGGGACGGAGAAGGCUAUGUUGGCCGGGCGACGGUUGUCCCGGUUUAAGCGUGUAGGCUGGUUUUCCAGGCAAAUCCGGAAAAUCAAGGCUGAGGCGUGAUGACGAGGCACUACGGUGCUGAAGCAACAAAUGCCCUGCUUCCAGGAAAAGCCUCUAAGCAUCAGGUAACAUCAAAUCGUACCCCAAACCGACACAGGUGGUCAGGUAGAGAAUACCAAGGCGCUUGAGAGAACUCGGGUGAAGGAACUAGGCAAAAUGGUGCCGUAACUUCGGGAGAAGGCACGCUGAUAUGUAGGUGAAGUCCCUCGCGGAUGGAGCUGAAAUCAGUCGAAGAUACCAGCUGGCUGCAACUGUUUAUUAAAAACACAGCACUGUGCAAACACGAAAGUGGACGUAUACGGUGUGACGCCUGCCCGGUGCCGGAAGGUUAAUUGAUGGGGUUAGCGCAAGCGAAGCUCUUGAUCGAAGCCCCGGUAAACGGCGGCCGUAACUAUAACGGUCCUAAGGUAGCGAAAUUCCUUGUCGGGUAAGUUCCGACCUGCACGAAUGGCGUAAUGAUGGCCAGGCUGUCUCCACCCGAGACUCAGUGAAAUUGAACUCGCUGUGAAGAUGCAGUGUACCCGCGGCAAGACGGAAAGACCCCGUGAACCUUUACUAUAGCUUGACACUGAACAUUGAGCCUUGAUGUGUAGGAUAGGUGGGAGGCUUAGAAGUGUGGACGCCAGUCUGCAUGGAGCCGACCUUGAAAUACCACCCUUUAAUGUUUGAUGUUCUAACGUUGACCCGUGAUCCGGGUUGCGGACAGUGUCUGGUGGGUAGUUUGACUGGGGCGGUCUCCUCCUAAAGAGUAACGGAGGAGCACGAAGGUUGGCUAAUCCUGGUCGGACAUCAGGAGGUUAGUGCAAUGGCAUAAGCCAGCUUGACUGCGAGCGUGACGGCGCGAGCAGGUGCGAAAGCAGGUCAUAGUGAUCCGGUGGUUCUGAAUGGAAGGGCCAUCGCUCAACGGAUAAAAGGUACUCCGGGGAUAACAGGCUGAUACCGCCCAAGAGUUCAUAUCGACGGCGGUGUUUGGCACCUCGAUGUCGGCUCAUCACAUCCUGGGGCUGAAGUAGGUCCCAAGGGUAUGGCUGUUCGCCAUUUAAAGUGGUACGCGAGCUGGGUUUAGAACGUCGUGAGACAGUUCGGUCCCUAUCUGCCGUGGGCGCUGGAGAACUGAGGGGGGCUGCUCCUAGUACGAGAGGACCGGAGUGGACGCAUCACUGGUGUUCGGGUUGUCAUGCCAAUGGCACUGCCCGGUAGCUAAAUGCGGAAGAGAUAAGUGCUGAAAGCAUCUAAGCACGAAACUUGCCCCGAGAUGAGUUCUCCCUGACUCCUUGAGAGUCCUGAAGGAACGUUGAAGACGACGACGUUGAUAGGCCGGGUGUGUAAGCGCAGCGAUGCGUUGAGCUAACCGGUACUAAUGAACCGUGAGGCUUAACCUU
rnacentral:rRNA from 1 species